rnacentral:rRNA from 1 species
UACGGAGGGUGCGAGCGUUGUCCGGAAUCACUGGGCGUAAAGGGCGCGUAGGCGGCAUGCCAAGCGUGUGGUGAAAGCCCGGGGCUCAACCCCGGGUCGGCCGUGCGGACUGGCGUGCUCGAGCACUGUAGGGGCGGGUGGAAUUCCGGGUGUAGCGGUGGAAUGCGUAGAUAUCGGGAGGAACACCAGUGGCGAAGGCAGCACUCUGGGACGUGACUGACGCUGAGACGCGAAAGCGUGGGGAGCAAACAGG